rnacentral:rRNA from 1 species
AGAGUUUGAUCAUGGCUCAGGAUGAACGCUAGCUACAGGCUUAACACAUGCAAGUCGAGGGGAAACGACAUCGAAAGCUUGCUUUCGAUGGGCGUCGACCGGCGCACGGGUGAGUAACGCGUAUCCAACCUGCCCACCACUUGGGGAUAACCUUGCGAAAGUAAGACUAAUACCCAAUGACGUCUCUAGAAGACAUCUGAAAGGGAUUAAAGAUUUAUCGGUGAUGGAUGGGGAUGCGUCUGACUAGCUUGUUGGCGGGGUAACGGCCACCAAGGCUACGAUCAGUAGGGGUUCUGAGAGGAAGGUCCCCCACAUUGGAACUGAGACACGGUCCAAACUCCUACGGGAGCA